rnacentral:lncRNA from 1 species
GUACCAUCGUUGGGGGAUUUCUGGAAAAAUAAAAAUAUUUCCCAGUAACUUACAAACUAUGCCAAAUAACUCGGCAUCCGAGCCGUCAAGAAAAACAGACUCGAAAAGCAAUCGAUCGUAUAUUUAGCCACGCAUGAAAUUCACAAUUGGAUCCUGUAGCAAAAAUAGAACGCUAAAUUCGGCGCGUAUUGCCCCGGAAGGCCCUACCGACAGACCACGGGGGCGGAGGGGGGUUUUUGGUGGGGGCCCACCCCCCCUGCCCCGCUUAGAAACUGCAAGUUGGGAAAAAAAACAACACAAAAGCAGUCAAUUGCACGCCCGCUGGUAAAUCCGCCACCUUUUUCAGCGCCCCCAAGUUCAGUGCUCAGUGACCGUGAUGUUGGACGCCGAGAAUGUGGUGGUGAGUCAACCGAACAUGGACCGGCGGCUGUCGAACUGGUACGCGAUGAACCUGAGUCCGGACGUCCUGGCGACGGUGGCCAACCUGAACGAUCAGCAUAGUAGGCACAGCCGCCACGGUAGCAGCACCCGUCACCACCACCACCACUCCUCUCACUCACACCACCAUCACAGCGGACGCCACAGACACCACGCGGUAAGUCCCCCCCCCUCACCCCUCCCCCUCUGCCCCCGUCUAAGCAUUCACCGCGCAAGUCGCGAAUGGGCGCACUCAUGGCAGCUACGUCACCCACUGACUCAGUGACUACGUCAUUCGAUAUUCACUUCGAUGGUUCCACCCUGUACAAAUAUCCGUUCCAGACGCUCAUACCAGGCCAUAUCUCCACCGGAUGUUUUCAUGAGAUAUGUUACAGAAUCGAUUCGCUAGAAUGAAAAUUCGGGAAUUUUUCGCGGUUACAGUCUCCUCGACGCGGGGGGGGGGGGGCUCUCACAUUCCUGUGACAAGUUUGCGCGGGAAGAUAAAUUAGUAAAAAUUGAGUGUUUAACCGGGAUUACAAUCAAUGUUGAACACGACUAACAUAUUGGACACGGAAAAAACGGAAAAUCGUGUAAACACAAAGUAUCGCACAAUUUCCUUUCACUUCUUCCUCCUAAUCUCAUCGUCAGUUGGUCUUACUUUCUCUACAACGGGUACAAGGACUAUACUUGGUACUGCCAAAAUACAGGAAAAACUAUUUACUUCCGAGGAUUAUUUGGGGGAGGGGCUGUAGCCCCUUUAAACGCUCAUGGAAUAAUUUCAGGGAAGAAUGUCAUAUUUUGACCCUUUGUAAAUCUUACUACACUGCCGUGCUGAGGAAGAACGCCGUAAGAGCCAGCAGACAUUGCCAAGUUUCCUUUGAUAAAGUACGGAUUUAUUGGGAAAGUUAUAAAUAUUUUUAUUAAAAAUUUUUAGACCAUAUUGUUCGCGGUUCAAUCUAGAAUAUCUGAAUAUUUCACGGAAAAAUAUGCAUAACUUCCUUUCAAAAUAAACAUUCUAUGAGGGGAAAUUUGGCAACCCUCGAAUGUUCAUACAGCGUUUUUCCUUAUCACGGCACUACAGUCCGGGGCUUUAACCUUGGAUCACCCUGUAUAUACACAUUCGACCACCUCGACGUGAGUGCAUUUAGGUUAAAUAUUUGUUUACAUUUGAUGGCCACACGCGCCGGAUGUAAAUAAACAAAAAUAAUUGAUGGCAACGUGCAAGCUUUGUUGUUGCACUAGUUCACGGUACGUCUGCAAGCGUUUAGUGACUGAUAAGAAUGAUUUCUAACCUGCGUUACGUUGCGUUCACUGCUGAAGUUACACUACAGCCAUCGUGGAUUGUUUGUCAGCUUGAUAUGAAAAAUUACGAGGAUGAAUAUCGACCCGAUCACAUGUCCGGUGAGUCAGAAAACGAACACUUGAGGAUACUUAGAUUGAAGUUCAUGUUUUGAGUGGAAGAAGGUUUAAAGGAAAGCUAGAGCUGUGCAUUCUCUCUCAUUCUCGAGAUGUUUUGGUCCACAUGUUAGACCAGUCAGACGAUGGGGGCCGCGCCCAAGGUCGUCACGCACAGUGGAGCCAGUCGAAGGAAAAUGUUGGACAUGCUGUGUAAAAUUUAAAAGCUGAUAUCUUUGUUAGCGUGAAACGGAGAAGCUAACAAGUGGUUUCAGUAGUUUUCUCGUAAAAUGGUCUUCCAAAUGCACUCCUUGAAAUUUAAGUUGUGACGGAAUAAAAACCAAAAUUUGCAGUUUUAGUAAACAAGUUCACGUCCGACCUCUCCGAAUGGAUCGUUCCACUGUGUGGCGUUGAGUACACGUUGUGAGCGCAGUAUUCCUUGGUGAAGAGUGGUGGGGGACACUCUAUGAUGCAAUAACGCCGUGUGCAGGAUUCCCUCACGCGUGGGGUAUUUUCUCGGGGAAAUUUGUCGCACGGAAUGUUUUGAAAAUGUUUCAUAGGGGUAUAGUACACCAAUAUGCAAUUUUUGAAUCGGCUAGUUCAAACUUUGAAUAAAAAAGUCCCAAUAAAAGGAUUAAAUUGUAAAAAGUUUAACUUUUAAAAACUUGGUUUUAGUAUUUAAAUUGGGAAG